rnacentral:rRNA from 1 species
AGCGAACGCUGGCGGCAGGCCUAACACAUGCAAGUCGAACGGAUCCUUCGGGAUUAGUGGCGGACGGGUGAGUAACACGUGGGAACGUGCCCUUUGGUUCGGAACAACUCAGGGAAACUUGAGCUAAUACCGGAUGUGCCCUUCGGGGGAAAGAUUUAUCGCCAUUGGAGCGGCCCGCGUCUGAUUAGCUAGUUGGUGAGGUAAAGGCUCACCAAGGCGACGAUCAGUAGCUGGUCUGAGAGGAUGAUCAGCCACAUUGGGACUGAGACACGGCCCAAACUCCUACGGGAGGCAGCAGUGGGGAAUCUUGCGCAAUGGGCGAAAGCCUGACGCAGCCAUGCCGCGUGAAUGAUGAAGGUCUUAGGAUUGUAAAAUUCUUUCACCGGGGACGAUAAUGACGGUACCCGGAGAGGAAGCCCCGGCUAACUUCGUGCCAGCCGCCGCAGUAA